rnacentral:tRNA from 1 species
GGCCUAUUAGCUCAGUUGGUUAUAGCGUCGUGUUAAUAACGCGAAGGUCCCAAGUUUGAAACUUGUAUGGGCCA